rnacentral:rRNA from 1 species
GACGAACGCUGGCGGCGUGCUUAACACAUGCAAGUCGAGCGGUAAGGCCCUUUCGGGGGUACACGAGCGGCGAACGGGUGAGUAACACGUGGGUGACCUGCCCUUAGCUCUGGGAUAAGCCUGGGAAACUGGGUCUAAUACCGGAUAUGACUCCAUGACGCAUGUUGUGGGGUGGAAAGCCUUGUGCGGCUAGGGAUGGGCCCGCGGCCUAUCAGCUUGUUGGUGGGGCGAGGCCUACCAAGGCGACGACGGGUAGCCGGCCUGAUAGGGCGACCGGCCACACUGGGACUGAGACACGGGCCCAGACUCCUACGGGAGGCAGCAGUGGGGAAUCUUGCGCAAUGGGCGAAAGCCUGACGCAGCGACGCCGCGUGAGGGAUGA